AUUGAACGCUGGCGGCAUGCUUUACACAUGCAAGUCGAGCGGCAGCGCGGGGGCAACCCUGGCGGCGAGCGGCGAACGGGUGAGUAAUACAUCGGAACGUGUCCCGUAGUGGGGGAUAGCUCGGCGAAAGCCGGAUUAAUACCGCAUAUGCUCUACGGAGGAAAGCGGGGGAUCCGCAAGGACCUCGCGCUAUGGGAGCGGCCGAUGUCCGAUUAGCUGUUGGUGGGGUAACGGCUUACCAAGGCGACGAUCGGUAGCUGGUCUGAGAGGAUGAUCAGCCACACUGGGACUGAGACACGGCCCA
rnacentral:rRNA from 1 species